rnacentral:rRNA from 1 species
AGAGCGAACGCUGGCGGCAUGCUUAACACAUGCAAGUCUCACGGGCAGCAAUGUCAGUGGCGGACGGGUGAGUAACGCGUAGGUAUCUAUCCAUGGGUGGGGGAUAACGUCGGGAAACUGACGCUAAUACCGCAUGACAUCUGAGGAUCAAAGGCGCGAGUCGCCUGUGGAGGAGCCUGCGUACGAUUAGCUAGUUGGUGGGGUAAAGGCCUACCAAGGCGACGAUCGUUAGCUGGUCUGAGAGGAUGAUCAGCCACACUGGGACUGAGACACGGCCCAGACUCCUACGGGAGGCAGCAGUGGGGAAUAUUGGACAAUGGGCGAAAGCCUGAUCCAGCAAUGCCGCGUGUGUGAAGAAGGUCUUCGGAUUGUAAAGCACUUUCGGCGGGGACGAUGAUGACGGUACCCGCAGAAGAAGCCCGGCUAACUUCGCGCCAGCAGCCGCGGUAA